rnacentral:rRNA from 1 species
GACGAACGCUGGCGGCGUGCUUAACACAUGCAAGUCGAACGGAAAGACCCUGCUUUUGUGGGGUGCUCGAGUGGCGAACGGGUGAGUAACACGUGAGUAACCUGCCCUUGACUUUGGGAUAACUUCAGGAAACUGGGUCUAAUACCGGAUAGGAGCUCCUGCUGCAUGGUGGGGGUUGGAAAGUUUCGGCGGUUGGGUUUGGCCUGGCGGCUUAUCCUCUUGUUGGUGGAGUAGUGGUUUACCAAGGCUUUGACGGGUAGCCGGCCUGAGAGGGUGACCGCGGACAAGGGGACUGAGAGAGGGCGCAGAGGGGAAUGGGGGGGAGAAGGGGAAAGUAUGGAACAGGGGGGGGGAGUGUGAGGAGGAAGCCCCCGGGGCGGAAAGAAGGCUUGUGGGGAGAAAACCGCUUGGGCCUGAGACGGACGGGGAGUGACGGUAAUGGAAAAAGAAGCACCGGCUAACUACGUG